rnacentral:other from 1 species
UUACUUCUGGGGUAUUUGUGUAGCUCUUAUUUUGAACCUACAUUAUAACCAUGGGAGUUCAAGAUUUAGAUAUUAAAUUGACCUAUAAGACCUGAUGGCCAGGACAUAAAAGUAUCUGUGAGGACACCCACCUAUCGAGAGAUAGGUGUCAAAAUUAGGGUAGCGAUAUUUUGGAAGUAUA